UACGAAGGGUGCAAGCGUUACUCGGAAUUACUGGGCGUAAAGCGUGCGUAGGUGGUGAGUUAAGUCUGUCGUGAAAGCCCCCGGGCUCAACCUGGGAAUGGCGAUGGAUACUGGCUCGCUAGAGUGCGGUAGAGGGUGGUGGAAUUCCCGGUGUAGCAGUGAAAUGCGCAGAUAUCGGGAGGAACACCAAUGGCGAAGGCAGCUCGCUGGGACGGUACUGACGCUGAGGCGCGAAAGCGUGGGGAGCAAACAGG
rnacentral:rRNA from 1 species